rnacentral:rRNA from 1 species
GUAGGGAAUUUUCGUCAAUGGGCGCAAGCCUGAACGAGCAAUGCCGCGUGAGCGAAGAAGGUCUUCGGAUCGUAAAACUCUGUUGCGGGGGAAAAAGGAAGGGAAGAGGAAAUGCUUUUCUUUUGAUGGUACCCCGCCAGAAAGUCACGGCUAACUACGUGCCAGCAGCCGCGGUAAUACGUAGGUGGCAAGCGUUAUCCGGAAUGAUUGGGCGUAAAGGGUGCGCAGGCUGCGCGUCAAGUCUGAAGUGAAAGGUACGGGCUUAACCGGUACAGGCUUUGGAAACUGGCACGCUAGAGGACAGGAGAGGGCGGUGGAACUCCAUGUGUAGCGGUAAAAUGCGUAGAUAUAUGGAAGAACACCAGUUGCGAAGGCGACCGCCUGGACUGUUGCUGACGCUCAGGCACGAAAGCGUGGGGAGCAAAUAGGAUUAGAUACCCGAGUAGUCC